GAGACUGUCUCUGUAGAUCAGGCUGGC
rnacentral:piRNA from 1 species